UGGGGAAUAUUGCACAAUGGGCGCAAGCCUGAUGCAGCCAUGCCGCGUGUAUGAAGAAGGCCUUCGGGUUGUAAAGUACUUUCAGCGGUGAGGAAGGUAGUAAAGUUAAUACCUUUGCCCAUUGACGUUACCCGCAUAAGAAGCACCGGCUAACUCCGUGCCAGCAGCCGCGGUAAUACGGAGGGUGCAAGCGUUAUUCGGAAUUACUGGGCGUAAAGCGCACGCAGGCGGUUUGUUAAUUCAGAUGUGAAAUCCCCGGGCUCAACCUGGGAACUGCCUCUGAUACUGGCAAGCUUGAGUCUCGUAGAGGGGGGUAGAAUUCGAGGUGUAGCGGUGAAAUGCGUAGAGAUCUGGAGGAAUACCGGUGGCGAAGGCGGCCCCCUGGACGAAGACUGACGCUCAGGUGCGAAAGCGUGGGGAGCAAACAGG
rnacentral:rRNA from 1 species